rnacentral:rRNA from 1 species
CCUACGGGAGGCAGCAGUAGGGAAUAUUGCACAAUGGGCGCAAGCCUGACCCAGCAACACCGCGUGCACGAAGAAGGCUUUCGGGUUGUAAACUUCUUUUAAGAGGGAAGAACAGAAGACAUUACCUCUUAAAUAAGCCACAGCUAACUACGUGCCAGCGGCCGCGGUAAUAAGUAGGUGGCAAGCGUGGUCCGGAUUUACUGGGGGGAAAGGUCGUGUAUCCGGGUUGACAAGUCAGAUGUGAAAUUCCGGGGGUCAACCCCGGACCCGCAUUUGACACUGUGGGUCUUGAGUAUGGGAGAGGUAGGCGGAAUUCCUAGUGUAGCGGUGAAAUGCGUAGAUAUUAGGAGGAACACCAGGGGCGAAGGCGGCCUGCUGGACGACAACUGACGGUGAGGAGCGAAAGCGUGGGGAGCAAACAGGAUUAGAUACCCGAGUAGUC